CAGGCUUAACACAUGCAAGUCGAGGGGCAGCAUGGUCUUAGCUUGCUAAGACUGAUGGCGACCGGCGCACGGGUGAGUAACACGUAUCCAACCUGCCGUCUACUCUUGGACAGCCUUCUGAAAGGAAGAUUAAUACAAGAUGGCAUCAUGAGUCCGCAUGUUCACAUGAUUAAAGGUAUUCCGGUAGACGAUGGGGAUGCGUUCCAUUAGAUAGUAGGCGGGGUAACGGCCCACCUAGUCUUCGAUGGAUAGGGGUUCUGAGAGGAAGGUCCCCCACAUUGGAACUGAGACACGGUCCAAACUCCUACGGGAGGCAGCAGUGAGGAAUAUUGGUCAAUGGGCGAGAGCCUGAACCAGCCAAGUAGCGUGAAGGAUGACUGCCCUAUGGGUUGUAAACUUCUUUUAUAAAGGAAUAAAGUCGGGUAUGGAUACCCGUUUGCAUGUACUUUAUGAAUAAGGAUCGGCUAACUCCGUGCCAGCAGCCGCGGUAAUACGGAGGAUCCGAGCGUUAUCCGGAUUUAUUGGGUUUAAAGGGAGCGUAGAUGGAUGUUUAAGUCAGUUGUGAAAGUUUGCGGCUCAACCGUAAAAUUGCAGUUGAUACUGGAUAUCUUGAGUGCAGUUGAGGCAGGCGGAAUUCGUGGUGUAGCGGUGAAAUGCUUAGAUAUCACGAAGAACUCCGAUUGCGAAGGCAGCCUGCUAAGCUGCAACUGACAUUGAGGCUCGAAAGUGUGGGUAUCAAACAGGAUUAGAUACCCUGGUAGUCCACACGGUAAACGAUGAAUACUCGCUGUUUGCGAUAUACUGCAAGCGGCCAAGCGAAAGCGUUAAGUAUUCCACCUGGGGAGUACGCCGGCAACGGUGAAACUCAAAGGAAUUGACGGGGGCCCGCACAAGCGGAGGAACAUGUGGUUUAAUUCGAUGAUACGCGAGGAACCUUACCCGGGCUUAAAUUGCAGAUGAAUUACGGUGAAAGCCGUAAGCCGCAAGGCAUCUGUGAAGGUGCUGCAUGGUUGUCGUCAGCUCGUGCCGUGAGGUGUCGGCUUAAGUGCCAUAACGAGCGCAACCCUUGUUGUCAGUUACUAACAGGUUCCGCUGAGGACUCUGACAAGACUGCCAUCGUAAGAUGUGAGGAAGGUGGGGAUGACGUCAAAUCAGCACGGCCCUUACGUCCGGGGCUACACACGUGUUACAAUGGGGGGUACAGAGGGCCGCUACCACGCGAGUGGAUGCCAAUCCUCAAAACCUCUCUCAGUUCGGACUGGAGUCUGCAACCCGACUCCACGAAGCUGGAUUCGCUAGUAAUCGCGCAUCAGCCACGGCGCGGUGAAUACGUUCCCGGGCCUUGUACACACCGCCCGUCAAGCCAUGGGAGCCGGGGGUACCUGAAGUGCGUAACCGCGAGGAGCGCCCUAGGGUAAAACUGGUGACUGGGGCUAAGAC
rnacentral:rRNA from 1 species